rnacentral:rRNA from 1 species
GGCUACACACGUGCUACAAUGGGUAGAACAGAGAGUCACAAAGCUGUGAAGUGGAGCUAAUCUCAGAAAACUAUUCUUAGUUCGGAUUGUACUCUGCAACUCGAGUACAUGAAGUUGGAAUCGCUAGUAAUCGCGAAUCAGCAAUGUCGCGGUGAAUACGUUCUCGGGUCUUGUACACACCGCCCGUCACACCACGAGAGUUGGUUGCACCUGAAGUAGCAGGCCUAACCGUAAGGAGGGAUGCUCCGAGGGUGUGAUUAGCGAUUGGGGUGAAGUCGUAACAAGGUAUCCGUACGGGAACGU